GACGAACGCUGGCGGCGUGCUUAACACAUGCAAGUCGAACGGUAAGGCUCCAGCUUGCUGGGGUACACGAGUGGCGAACGGGUGAGUAACACGUGGGUGACCUGCCCUGCACUUCGGGAUAAGCCUGGGAAACUGGGUCUAAUACCGGAUAGGACCGCACCGUGAGGGUGUGGUGGAAAGUUUUUUCGGUGUGGGAUGGGCCCGCGGCCUAUCAGCUUGUUGGUGGGGUAAUGGCCUACCAAGGCGGCGACGGGUAGCCGGCCUGAGAGGGUGGACGGCCACAUUGGGACUGAGACACGGCCCAGACUCCUACGGGAGGCAGCAGUGGGGAAUAUUGCACAAUGGGCGGAAGCCUGAUGCAGCGACGCCGCGUGGGGGAUGACGGCCUUCGGGUUGUAAACUCCUUUCACCAUCGACGAAGGGUUUCUGACGGUAGAUGGAGAAGAAGCACCGGCUAACUACGUGCCAGCAGCCGCGGUAAUACGUAGGGUGCGAGCGUUGUCCGGAAUUACUGGGCGUAAAGAGCUCGUAGGUGGUUUGUCGCGUCGUCUGUGAAAUUCCGGGGCUUAACUCCGGGCGUGCAGGCGAUACGGGCAUAACUUGAGUACUGUAGGGGAGACUGGAAUUCCUGGUGUAGCGGUGAAAUGCGCAGAUAUCAGGAGGAACACCGGUGGCGAAGGCGGGUCUCUGGGCAGUAACUGACGCUGAGGAGCGAAAGCAUGGGGAGCGAACAGGAUUAGAUACCCUGGUAGUCCAUGCCGUAAACGGUGGGCGCUAGGUGUAGGUUUCCUUCCACGGGAUCCGUGCCGUAGCUAACGCAUUAAGCGCCCCGCCUGGGGAGUACGGCCGCAAGGCUAAAACUCAAAGGAAUUGACGGGGGCCCGCACAAGCGGCGGAGCAUGUGGAUUAAUUCGAUGCAACGCGAAGAACCUUACCUGGGCUUGACAUAUACAGGAUUGCGCCAGAGAUGGUGUUUCCCUUGUGGCUUGUAUACAGGUGGUGCAUGGUUGUCGUCAGCUCGUGUCGUGAGAUGUUGGGUUAAGUCCCGCAACGAGCGCAACCCUUGUCUUAUGUUGCCAGCACGUUGUGGUGGGGACUCGUAAGAAACUGCCGGGGUUAACUCGGAGGAAGGUGGGGAUGACGUCAAAUCAUCAUGCCCCUUAUGUCCAGGGCUUCACACAUGCUACAAUGGUCGGUACAGUGGGUUGCCAGUCCGUGAGGGCGAGCUAAUCCCGCAAAGCCGGUCUCAGUUCGGAUCGGGGUCUGCAACUCGACCCCGUGAAGUCGGAGUCGCUAGUAAUCGCAGAUCAGCAACGCUGCGGUGAAUACGUUCCCGGGCCU
rnacentral:rRNA from 1 species